UUUGUUUACCUGUUCAUGUGCGGAAGUCCCUUUGAUGUUUACAGCAAGGCAGUUACAAGUCACAUUAUAGCUUACAAACUUGUAAUUUGUAGUCAAAAACGAACAAUUAAUGUUGUUCUUUUGUGUUAGAAGCCGUCCUACCUCUUCUGCCGGACACGUUUGAUCCAGCAAACUGGAAUUUGAGUUGAACUUAACAGCUAUUAGCUUGCUUGCGGCGACAGACAGACGUUAUUAAAG